GAGUCUUAGCUAUCUGAGUUAAUUUUGUGAAAUUCAGGGGGCAAGGUUAACUCGAAUUUUUUUCUCUGUUCCAACUGAGAAAAGAAAAUGGUUACCAAACAGAGGAAGAGGAAAAGGCAAAUUGAGGAAAUGAAAGAAGACAGGAUCAGUGAGUUACCGGACUGCAUUCUUCACCACGUCUUCUCUUUUGCCGACACAUCUGAUGUUGUUAGAACCUGUGUUUUGUCCAAAAGAUGGAGGUACUUAUGGACUUCUCUUCCCUGUCUUAACUUCAAUUUCAGAAAAUUUUCUAGGGUUAUUAGCUCAAAAAGAUCAUCUUUCAUUAACUUUAUCCAUCAACUUCUUCUGCGUCGGAAUUCUAUUCCCAUCCACACUUUUUUGUAUAGCGCACCUCUUGAAGUUAAAUCUACUGCUGUUGAAUCUUGGAUAUAUUAUGCAAUUAAACAUCAGGUUCAGCAUCUUACAAUAGAAGCAGAUUGUUGUACUAGAAAGCCUGUUCAGUUUCCUAACUGUUUUUAUGGUUGCACAUCCUUAACAACUCUGGAAAUUAUUUGCUGUCGAUAUUAUGGAAGCAUAACAUUGCCUAACACUUUAAAGUUAUCCUCUUUGAAAAAUUUGCACCUUGGUGCAUUUGGAUUUUCUGAUGGAAAUCUCUUUUCAACUUGUCCCAAUCUUGAGACUCUAAAACUUGAAGACAUAAGUAUCCGAUCUAUUCGAAAUUUCAGUGUUUGUGCUCUAAAUCUGAAAAGCUUUGAUUUUUUAAUUAACUGGAGAGAGUUGGUUAGUUAUAGUGAAAUUGUUAUUGUAGCUCCAAAGCUUAAGAAAUUCAAGUUUCGAAGUUUUCCUCCUAAACUCUUGUCUUUCAAGAAUCUUUCUUCUCUGGACCAAAUUGAAAUUGAUCUGCCGAGCAUCAGUGAUCAGAAUUACUUCUAUCCUAUAGAUGAGCUAAAGCAAAUGUUUGCUCUCCGAGUUCUCCAGAUGCUCAAUUCACUUCAUAUUGCACAAACCAUGACAUUAUCAAUGAAUGUCAUUCAAGUUCUAUCCUACAUUCCUGCUUCACUGAAUGAGCACCCUUCACAGUUAUCAAAUCUGAAGUAUCUGAAGGUGAAGAGUAGUAGUAAGUCAUCUAAGAAAGUUGAGAUACCCAGCGAUAUCUUAAAUUACUUUCUUAAGAGCUCUCCGUUGCUGGAAUAUCUUAAAUGAAGGACUAACAAAUUGAUUGUUUAAAGGUGAUUAAGGAAAUCCUUGGUUCUUUGGUUAGCAGCAUACCUGCCUGUAUCUGGACUUACUUCCGCAAGAACUCAUCUUUUUGGAAUGCACAAGCAACUACAAGUUACAACCAAUAGUAACUAUACUGUAGCUUUCUGAUAGUUUAAUUUUGUCAACUUAUAUAUGGUUCUCAAUAGUGUGCAUUAGUAGUGUUUCUA